rnacentral:rRNA from 1 species
CAGUAGCCACGGUAAUACGAAGGGGGCUAGCGUUGUUCGGAAUUACUGGGCGUAAAGCGCACGUAGGCGGCUUUGUAAGUAAGAGGUGAAAGCCCGGAGCUCAACUCCGGAACUGCCUUUUAGACUGCAUCGCUUGAAUCCAGGAGAGGUGAGUGGAAUUCCGAGUGUAGAGGUGAAAUUCGUAGAUAUUCGGAAGAACACCAGUGGCGAAGGCGGCUCACUGGACUGGUAUUGACGCUGAGGUGCGAAAGCGUGGGGAGCAAACAGGAUUAGAUACCCCUGUAGUCCCUGUCUCUUAUAC